GAGACAGGCUGGCGGCGUGCUUAACACAUGCAAGUCGAACGAGUGGCGAACGGGUGAGUAACACGUGGGUGAUCUGCCUUGCACUCUGGGAUAAGCUUGGGAAACUGGGUCUAAUACCGGAUAGUGCAAGAUGAGCUCGCGGCCUAUCAGCUUGUUGGUGGGGUAAUGGCUAACAAGGCGCGACGGGUAGCCGGCGUGAGAGGGUGACCGGCCAGAUUGGGUCUGAGUUACGGCCCGAACUCCUGCGGAAGUGAGCAGGGGGGGAUAUUGCACAAUGGGCGAAAGCCUGAUGCAGCAACUCCGCGUGGGGGAGGAAGACUUUCGGGUUGUAUACCUCUUUCGCAAUCGAACGGGUAGGUGGAGAAGAAGCGCCGGCUAACUACGUGCCAGCAGCCGCGGUAAUAC
rnacentral:rRNA from 1 species